GCACAUUUAAGACAAGAAUUGAGUGAGAGCAAAGAUGUAGGUGCUCAGGUCGAGAAGACGGACAACUGUAAGUAUCAUCAAUACAAUAGUAUUAACUUUGCUUAGAUGCACAAAUAUUGUGUAAGAUUUAAAUGGCACUGACCCAGUCAAGAGAAUCUGUGCUUAGGGUGUAGCUGUUUUCCUUCCAGUCUGUUUCACCUGUGGGCUGGAAGCUCACCUCCCGAAUAGUGAAAAGAUCACUUUCCUCUUCUUCCUCCCCAUGACCAACCUGUUAAAAUAAAAAGUUAAAAAUAAAUAGAAAAUACGAGUUAUUCCAGUCCAUUCUUUCAUAAUCUGAUAUUAGCACACAAUAAAUCAAGCCAAUGAAAUAAAUUAAAUAUAUACACACACGGAGUAGUGGAAGCACUCAGAGGACUUCUUGACAAUAUUUUCUUUUAUUGUGGUAUUAUCUAAGUGCAAAAAGCAUCGAUCAACGUUUCGACCCCUAGAGGGUCUUUUUCU